UAGCCCCUUGCUUGGUCAAUCAGCGUCGAUACUCUGAAGUGGGAGGCUGAGAAGUCUCAGCAGAUGUCCCAAAGGAUGGCCCAGGACACCACCAGCAGGGAUCAGUCUCAGAGCAAGUCCAGCCCCCUCUUUGGGACAGCCUUUCACAAAGCUAUAAAUGGGGUGUCUCUCAGGUUGCCCCCACCUUGCACCUCUGUCCUGCCUGGCAGAUGUCAAGGUGUCUUUGUAAGGUCACUAUCUUCCCCACCAAUAGGGUGAAGUCCUGCAACAAACCCUUGUGAUGUCAUGGCCCCACUCACCCCUCUCCUGCAAGUCUGAUGUUCUGCCCGUAGCCAGCCCCUUGGCACACUGACUGAUCAGAAUAAAGUGCUCUCAAAUGAAUUACAGACCAAUAAUUGAUCCCCGCAUUAUCGAGCAAGUAUUUGAGAAGAAUUUGAAGAUUAAAGAGAAUCAGGGACUGCACAAAUACAAUAAUCCAGAGAAGCAGCACCAACAGUCAAAUACAGUCUUAAAAGAGAACAAAAGGACCUGAGUCUUCUCUGUCAAUAGCCACCUGCUCAGCCAAUCAGCAUCAAGACGCAGAGUUGGAAGGCAGAGGAGUGUCAGCAGAAAUUCAAAAAGACGGCCCAGGUCACCAUAGGAAGGGAUCAGCCUCUGAACACUAUUCCAGCCCCACCUCUUUGUGAGGACCUCCUACAAUGACAGCAAACCUCACUGAUACACACAUAAGCAAGAGAAGAAGAGAAAGAGAAGGAAGGAGGAAAAGAGAAACUUAAACGGACAAACCCCCAAUGCCUCGAGUGAUUCUGCAGGACAAAGGCCUUGGUGACAAGAAUAGGACUGCUCAGCUCAAAGAAAUGAGUGACCAAGCUGUAGAACGAGAGAGAAACAGAGAAGGAUUUAUAUUGUGAAGACUUCAUACUGAACUCUGUGGAUAGUAAUUUCUGUAAACGGACUGAGCUAAAGAGCCAAGAAGUUCUCUUCAAAGAGCAACAUAUAAGAGUUAUGGGAGCACAGAAGGAGUGGAUAAUUCAGGUACUUGUACAGAAGAGAGAAUUUUUGGCAGGAAAAUAUUUACGAAGAAGUUGGAAACACUGAAACUCAUCCUCUUGAGGUUUAAACAAGAAAGAGGCACCACAUCUAAGAGAUGCAAAGGAGGUGGAGGACAGUGAAAAAAAAUGCACUUCUUGGCAUCAUCCCAGCAACACUCAGCAUGCACACCAUUGAUCAACAAGGAGUAUGAAGACAAUGAAUGCAGUGAUUGGGAAGCAUGCAGAAUUCCCAUGCUGUUGCCAUCAACUAGCUGGAGAAGCUGCAAGUGAGAUGCCUGCAUCACCUCCCGCACCAGCCUCCCAACCCCAUGGGAGCUGCCACCGCAGACAUGCCUAUGAGGACUUGGAGCAGGAGCACAUUGCCGUCCUUCAUGCCCUGCAGCAGUCUCUGGAGGCGGACAUGGAGAUGCGCCGCACCCUCUGGCAGGAGCUCUUGCAGCAGGCCCAGAGUCCGGACCAUGUGUGUGGCUUACACCUCUGCCGUUGACUACCUGAUGGCCACUCCUGCCCCAGCUCCUGCCCCACCAGCUUCUUCCCUAGCCCUACCCCUAUGGCUGCUGAAGG